rnacentral:rRNA from 1 species
UACGUAGGGGGUUAGCGUUGUCCGGAAUCAUUGGGCGUAAAGCGCGUGUAGGCGGCUCGGUAAGUCAGCUGUGAAAGUCCAGGGCUCAACCCUGGAAUGCCGGUUGAUACUGUCGAGCUCGAGUCCGGAAGAGGUGAGUGGAAUUCCUGGUGUAGCGGUGAAAUGCGCAGAUAUCAGGAGGAACACCAAUGGCGAAGGCAGCUCACUGGGACGGUACUGACGCUGAGACGCGAAAGCGUGGGGAGCAAACAGG